AGUAUCACUGAGUAGUUCAAGUACAUUAUCAGCAGACACUGACAUAAUGGGAACGUCAUCAGGUGUUGAACAUGAAGCAAAAGAGUGUACUGAAGUUUUGAAAGACUUGGAGAAACUUUCUACCCUGUUGCAAAGCCACAGAAUUACAGAAAGUGUGUCAUCAAAAAUCGUGGAGGAAGUUAAAGUCAUGCUUUCUUCCUAUUGGAGGCGACUCGUUGAGUCUGUCAGUCAGUGCAAGGCUCUGCAGAAGGAACUAGAGCAUACACUCACCAACAAGCGGCAGAAACUAUGCCAGGUUUAUAAUGCCAAGAAAGCCCUUGAAAGGGAGCUAAAAGAGUUGAAACUUCAUCAAAAUGGAUGUAAGGUGUCAACUUCUGAAGUGACUAAAAAUAAGGAUGGAGCUUACUUAGCACUUCUCACUGAAAAUAGAGCUUUACAGCAGCAAAUUUAUUUGUUGCAAGAGGAAAUCACACAAUUAAAAGACAGUUCUGUGCCAAAGCAGCCCUUCAUUUUGAAGAAAACAGCAGAGAAAGAUUUGACAUCUUUGAAAUUUGAUUUCCCGUCUGAGAAUACAGUUAAAAGUUCAGCAGGGAAAGAACAGAAGAACACCAAUUAUGGAAAAUAAGAAAGUGCAAUUGGUUGGAAUUUCAAAAUUCUUCCCCCUUUUUUUUUUUGAGCCCCGAUUGGGCUUCAGCGAACAGGUGCACAUGCCUUGUUGCAGUUCUUGGUUUAAAUUCUUGUAGUGAAGUUUUCAUUGAAGUAAAAUUUAGCAAGAUUUGGAAAAGCUAGUUGAACAGUUAGAAGAUGUUUGUACAGGGUAAAAUGUGUGAAGCGGGUUUAUUCCUGCCUCACAGUGAGUGGUCCUAAGUUCAAAUUUUUAUUAACUUUAUUCAAUCUGUUAUAUAAUAACAUUUUUCAUAACUAUUAUCUAAACAUAUUUUGUAUAAUAUAAUAAUAGUUUGAUGAGGGUUUUUGUAAAAAAUUAAAAGUUUUUGUUGGCAGCUGAAGUUAUAUUAGACAGGAUGGUGUAAAAAGCUUAAGAUAGUAAAACUUAAAAGUUUUCAAGGUUAAAGGGUAUGUGAUGAAAACAUCACACUGUGUGCUUGAUGUUUUUAAGCACUUUAUUCUUCAGAGGCCUGUUAUGGGUAACUACAAAAUUGUACAAUUAUUGUUACUAGAUCUUUUGUCUACUGCAAAACAUUGCUGACAAGGCCUAUAUUGGACCUGUUAUUAGUUGUUCUGAAAAACAUGAGCAAGCUGUGAAACGUUUCUUCACGCUGUAUUAGGUAUAUUUGUUUUGUAUGAUAGCAAACUUUUUCUUAUAACCUUGUUCACGAUGUAUAUCAUUUAAUUCAUUUGUAUAAGCCACCAGGUUUUCAUACUUUUGUUCUUUGAUUCAUGGAGCUUGUGAUGCGAAUGACUCAUUGUGGCUUUUAAAAUGUCUAUGUUAGGGUCAGAAACAGACGUUAUUAGCACAUAUGGUUUUCAAAUUUUAUUUUAUAAUGUUUUAUUUAUUAGCGAGUAAUCAGUUUUAAUAUUUGUGAAUUAAUUGUUCACAGAAUUAAUUGUAAUAGUUGUGUACAUACAGAAGGAUUCUAGAAAAAAACUUAAGUUAAACACUCUUCUCUCACUUACUUAAAAUAAGCUUUAGAAGAAGCUGUCACUCAUUUUCUAUCUGUGUUUAUUAAGACAGGUCUUAAAAGAAACUAUGUUAACCACUAACACUUGAUUAUAGCGGAUUAGUUUUUAUAGUUAUUCAUUUAUCAUCCAUUACAAAGAUAAUCGUACUUGAACUUUUUUUUUCUUGUCUUUGUAUUUGUUAAUACAGUAUAUAGAAGUGAGGCUUUACUCAGACUGCCAUUUCUUUAUGAAUGUUAAUAGUAUGUAUAGGAGAGAAACUUCAGUUGGACUGCCAUUUCUUUGUACUCAUUAGAGAAACAAUUGGAAGUGAAACUUUUUCUUGGAUUAAUAUUUCUUUUUAUUAAAACUUCAAAGAAUGUGUUUAAGUAAGCCUUUUUUUUUUCCUAGUUACAUGUGUUUAUUUUUUUCAACCCUUUUUUUUUUGUGUGAGCUUGUGGUUUAUGUAUUUAAUUUCUUUGUUUUAUAUAGUUUUGAGUUUGGAAUGAUUUUUCAAAGUACACAGUCCAAGUUAUUUUAUAAGAUAGUAUUAUUAAUUAAGGGUAAAAUCUGAUUGGCUAAAAUCUACAAAUAAGCACCAAUAUAUCUUUUGGUGCUGUGAAAGUUAUGCUAUUAUAGUAAUAGUGCAAUUUUAUUUUCUCUGCAAAUGGUUGGUUAUGUUAUGUAUUAAUGCAAAUGCAUUAUAGUGUAUGAAAGUUUAGAGCAAAUUGUAAAUUUUGCUUAUUUCUAAAUAUUUAUUGGUGAAACAUGGAGUUUAAUUCAUCUCAGGUUAAAUUUCAUCUAAUCCAAGGUUAAUACUUAAGUUAGUUCUGCUAUCUGUCAUGUUUUCAAUGUACAAAAUGUGAUCCGAAUUAAAGGAAUAAACGCACAGACAUAAUAUUAAAGCAUAGUAAUAGAUUUUUGUUUAAGUAGGAUUAUUAUGAUAUUUUUAAAAAUAUAUUUUUGUCUCUGGUUUUCUCAGAGCAUCAGGUACUUUAUUAGCUAGUGCCACAUACAUAUAUAUAUAUAUUGGCUUGUACUGUUAUAUUAAUUUUAAAAUGUAAGGUAUUUUGUUGGAGAAGUUAUGUUUGAUUUUGACAAAUGAAGUAAUAAUGAUGUUGCCUGAAGGACUUUAUAUAAAUGCUAUUUAUGUUUGAUGGUUUUAAUUCUUACCCAGAAAUAGGAAGCUUGAAAUUAGUUUGAAGUGAUUGUUAUUUUUCUAAUCUGAAGGUAGCCAGUGCUAAUGUAACUGCUACACAGUUGCAGGAUAUUCUGGUUUAAAUAGAAUUUUUACUAGCACUUUCACAGUUGCAGGUCAGGUGGUUUGAUAAUCUCUGCAUGCUACUGAGGGAAAUGCUUUACUUGUAAUAGAUUAUAACAAAAACAACAAAAUACUAGUUGAAAUACUAUUACAGCAUGUUUUUGUUGGUUGCACUAGAUUAGGAUGAGUCAAAAUUUUUGUCAGUUGUACAAUGCUGUUUUAUCAUUACAGUCUUUAGUUUGAAAUCCAAUAACUUACUGAUUACUUCACCCACUUUACAACUGCUUGUCUAUUUGAAAUCUAUAACUAUAAAAUUUGUUAAACUGAUGCUUCAUACAUUGCUCUUCCAUUGUUUAAUGAUGGUUAAAAUGUUUACUUGAUAAGAUAGCACCGUAUCUAAAAAUAUUUGAAACAAAAAUAAACUAGUGAUCAUCAGGGUUGAAUGCAUAUCUAAAUGACAAAACAAGAGUGUUUUUUUUUUCUGUAGUGACAGAAACUGCUCAAAAUUAAACAUUUUAUGUAAACACUUACAGCUCCAUGUUAGGUUAGUUCCAAACCAUUUUAGCACAUGAUUUCAAACGCUUAAAACCUAAACCCAAGAAAAGUUGGGGGUUAAGAAUUGGAGGAAUAAAGUACACAUGUAUUUCUAUAUACAGUCUGCUUCCUAUCUAGUGUGUUCCCCGGUGGGUCAGCAUUAUGUUUAUGGACCCACAACCCUAUAAAAGCUGGGGUUCAAUUCCACACAGCAGACAGUAUGCAGAUAGACUAAUGUGUGGCUUUUCUAUAAAAUAAAGAAACUAUCUGUUUACUGCUGAUUUUAUUUAUAUUUAGCUAUCUGUUUGGUACUGUGAAUGCUCUGAGUGUUAUUAAGUAACAUUAUGGUGUUUCUACUAUAUUGUAAUAUUCAAAAUAAGUUAACAGUUGCUCAAGAUAUUUUUUCGAAUAUUCAAAUUGAUACACACAUUUAUUGUAUGUACAUUCCACUAAUUUCUACUGUAUGUAUGCAGAUAUUGUAGAUUGUGUUUGUAAAUUUACACAGUCAGUGUGAAUAAAUUAUAUUUCAAUUGAACAUUUAUAACUUAAACCAAGUUUACUCUUAAAAUAGAUAAAACUUUUUGCUUCUUGGGUAAUUUUGAAGUUUAGCUUCAAUGUUUAACACUUUAGUUAGUUUGUUAUUUACAGUACCUAAUAUGUGAACUGAAGGCAUCAAGUGCGAAUUGAGAAUUUUUCUUUUUAUUGUGUUGCAUUACCCCAUGUAACUAAAAUAAGUAUAUCAGUUUAAGUAUUGUUUAUUAGCUGCAUAUAAACAAGAAUGGUGGUGACACAAUUUUAUAGUUGGUUACUGCAUGUAAGACAUAAAAGCCCGACUUUUCUCUGUUUAGGCAUCGAAGAAACGUACCUUUACAUAAAUAGAUCACAGUGGCUAUAUUGCCGUUUGUUACUUUUAAAUGGAAGUUGUACUAAGAUUUGGAUUCCAAUUUAAUCAAAGAUUUUUAAGUUCAAUAAUCCUUUAAAUAUAUUAAAAUAUGGCAUUACCAUAAUAAUUAUAAUUAUAAUAAUUACCAUUUAUAAUUGCCUUUAUUAGGAAACUACAUGUUGAAUGAUUACCACAUUCAUGUAAUUCUACGUUACCAUAAUCAAAUUCAAAUAAAAAAAAGUGACUCUUCAACUAGUUAAUACACAAUAAAUUGGUAAACUCCACAUGUUGUAUGUAAUUUUUUUACCACUUUGCUAUAGCCAUCGUCAGGUCAAAGUGACUGCCAGCAUUAAUUGUGUGUCCUGUUAAAACUGUGAAAGUUCUUCAUAGUUAUGAGUGGACAUGUAACAAUGAAAAUAUACAACUGCCCCAAAUGAAUCAAUCGUAAAUCUUUGUAUACAUCUAUUUAUUUAUACAUUAAAACAUAAAAAAUUAACAUAUGUAUAAUCUCUGUGGGUUAAACUGUUGAGAAUGCAAGUUUACAGUAAACAACAUGUGGUGUCAACCUUGCUAGACUCGUGUCCCCAAUCCCUACUAAUCACUAGACUCAUGUCCUCAAUCCCUACUAAUCACUAGACUCAUGUCCCCAAUCCCUACUAAUCACUAGACUCGUGUCCCCAGUUCCUACUAAUCACUAGACUUGUGUCCCCAAUCCCCAUUAAUCACUAGACUCGUGUCCCCAGUUCCUACUAAUCACUAGACUCGUGUCCCCAGUUCCUACUAAUCACUAGACUCAUGUCCCCAAUCCCCAUUAAUCACUAGACUUGUGUCCCCAAUCCCCAUUAAUCACUAGACUUGUGUCCCCAAUCCCCGUUAAUCACUAGACUCGUGUCCCCAAUCCCCAUUAAUCACUAGACUUGUGUCCCCAGUCCCUACUAAUCACUAGACGUAUGUCCCCAAUCCCUACUAAUCACUAGACUGAUGUCCCCAAUCCCUGUCAAUACCCAGUCCACUUCCAUUUUCAAAUUAUCUGUGCAUCUUUAUAUUGUAUUUAAGAAUAAUUGUUUACCUAUUUAUUGUGUAUUUAUGACUUUCUUCACUGUCAUUUCAAAGUUCACCUAAGUGUUUGCAUAUGUUUUACAUUUUAAGAAUAUGUGGUAAAGUAUAGUAUCUAUUGUGUGUUUUUCUCUUGGUAGGGUACUGCUUUUGUUUUCAAAUAGCUCUCAUACUACAAUUGCAAAAGAAAUGCAUCAAUCAAGUUAAAGAAUGAAGAAAAACUGCCAUUUUUAUACUAACAAACAAAGAGAUUUGUAUCUUAAUUGCAAACCUUAUCUCUAAGAAACGAUAAUGACCAUGAUAUAUUACUAUUCAGGUUCAGGUUCCAUAUUUCUUGUUACAAUCAGCAUUACUUUAGGGUAUUUGUUAUCUACAUUAGAGGGGGCCCUCAUGAAAACUUUUUCUAUUACAGUUGACUUGUGCUAGAGAAAAAAAAAAUAACUCAGUAAAUAUAUAUUUUGUCACACACUAUACAUGAGUUGUUAGGAAUGGCAAGUCUAGGUAAGAAAUAGCUCUUACUAAAAAAUAUUUUAUAUAACUGGAUCUUUAAGAAUAUUGAUACAAAUAGUUCUCAUUUUUUGUUUUUAAGUAGUAUUAUAUAUAUAUAUAUGAUCAAACAUAUUUUUUCUUCUCUUUCCCCAAAUGUUCAAUCUGAUUACAAAGGAGGAUUUUUUUGGGGGGAGGGGGGGUCUUACCUUUUUUUUUCUAUAGAAUUUGAUCAUUUUUGCUACUUAAAAAGUUUUGAAUACUUUAGUUUUCUGUUUUUUUUACCUGGUUUGAUAUUAGUUCACUGCCAUUUUUACUUGAUAACAUGUGUGAGAAAAUCGAAACUCAUCUUCUAGCGUUAGGAACUGUUUCUUUCACUGGAUUGUGUGUUCAGGCCUAAUCUUCUAGCGUUAGGAACUGUUUCUUUCACUGGAUUGUGUGUUCAGGCCUAAUCUUCUAGCGUUAGGAACUGUUUCUUUCACUGGAUUGUGUGUUCAGGCCUAAUCUUCUAGCAUUAGGAACUGUUUCUUUCACAGGAUUGUGUGUUUAGGCUUAAGUAUUAUCAGCUGCCAUUGAUCUAAAUACUGUUUUAGGUAGAUGCAAACUCAGAUUAUCGGUGAGUUGUAGUCAUUGCAUUGUAUUGAAGUCUCGAACUGCGGAAUGGCAAAGUCACUUGUAAACAUUAAUAUUAUGUUGUCCGACUGUAAAUAGCUGCUUUUGUUGUAGAAAUACAGAAAGUAGUGAUUGUUAUGUCUUGAAAUCUGUGUGAAUUUAUAUAUUGUUAGAUUUGUUCUUUUGCCUUGCCCCAUUUGACUUCAUGAUCUUCUCUAUGGUAAAACUAGAAAAGUUACUCUUUUUUUUUUGCAACAAAAUACUGUCUUGAACUUUUGGUUGAAGUUGACCCUGAAAGCUGGAUCACUGUAUGUGUGAUGGGCUAUUUUACAUACAAACCGGUGACCUUUGAAAGAAGGAUUGUAUAUAUUUUGAGCUUUAGCUCUUGUGUUCUUCUAUGGUUAAAUGGCGUCUUUGUAUUCCACUGUGGAAUUUUCGGGGCCAUCUUCUUUUCAGCAUAUGCCAGAGACUGGUGCUGAUAUUGCCUUAACACUGUGUAAAAUAAUUUAUUGCUUGUUUGUGAGAGACCUUUUUUUUCAUGAAAAUUAGAAUUUCUGUUCAGUUAAGCAACUUUAAUCUUAUGAAAACUUUAAAUUCAAGUUAAAAGUGUUGUCUUAUUUUAAUAUUGUAAAACCUCUGUAGUUUGAAUAACUUAGAAUUUAAAACUGAAGUACCAUCCACUUUUAAUUUACAAUAUUUUAAUAUUGUAAAACCUCUGUAGUUUGAAUAACUUAGAAUUUAAAACUGAAGUACCAUCCACUUUUAAUUUACAAUAUCUCAGUUUAAUAUUUUAUCGUUUAUCUUACGUGUUUUGAAAAUACCGAUUUUGAGCUUUAUGAUUGUAUAUUGAAAUAUUGUUUGGAGCAGUUUUAAUAAUGAUAAAGAAGUUGAAUGGAGCAGUUAUGUGUAAGUUCUUAAUGAAAAGAUAUAAGUAUAUCCACUUGAAGGAGUGAAAAAAAAAGUGGAAAAGGUUUCCAUUUCACCCACCACGAUGUAGUUUUUAGACAGUAAUUAUGCUAUCCCACCUUGGCCAGCUUCUGGUAAAGAAGUUUGUUGACCCUUACAUUGUUGAACUACCAGUUCAGAUAACAACGUUUUUCAAUCUCAAUUACAAGUGUCAGUGUAGUUUCAUAUGUAUAUAAGCCAAGUAAAGCUGAUGAUAUAUCUAUAAGUAUUACAUAUUUGUACAGCUGCAAUUGCCCUCAUUUAGACAAAAAUUAUUUUGUAAAAGUUCUUAAUGACCAACCUCGGCUCAGUUCAGAAAGUGGUAAGCUCAUUUUGAUGUAGACUUGUUUGUUUUUCUGAUCUGUUAUAACAUCAUCACAACCUAUUAAUGUAAUAAAUGUUUCGCUAUCUAAAGUACAAAUAAAAACCCUUUUUAGCUUCA